rnacentral:misc_RNA from 1 species
UACGGAGGGUGCAAGCGUUGUCCGGAUUUAUUGGGCUUAAAGGGUGCGUAGGCGGCCUUUUAAGUCAGCGGUGAAAUCCCAGGGCUCAACCGUGGAACUGCCGUUGAUACUGGAAGGCUUGGGUUCGGGAGAGGCGGGCGGAACUGGUGGUGUAGCGGUGAAAUGCAUAGAUAUCACCAAGAACCCCAAUUGCGUAGGCAGCUCGCUGGGCCGACACUGACGCUGAGGCACGAAAGCGUGGGGAGCGAACAGG